UGUGCCUGUAGCUCAGUUGGAUAGAGCAACGGCCUUCUAAGCCGUGGGCCAGGAGUUCGAAUCUCUUCAGGCACGCCAU
rnacentral:tRNA from 1 species